rnacentral:lncRNA from 1 species
GCAAUUACAAUUUCUGUUAAUUAAUUUGGCCAAGCUACGACUUACAUAGUCUGAUAAGGAAAUCUCAACUGAAAUUGAAUUCUUUCUUCACCCAACUUGGUCUAACUUCAAAGCCUAUAAAAACAACCUUUCGGAAGAUUUGAGAGAAGGGAAUGAAAGGAAGAAAAACACCAUAUUGAAAGCUGAGAGUCAAGCCACAAAGUCAUUGAACCUAAGAAGAUUUUGAAGGAUUCAAGAAGACUUGGAAGAUCAAGAUUAUAAUUCUUGAGUUUUAUCUUUUUGAUUAUUCUCUUAUUUUCUUAGUUUGUUUUUAUUGUUUAAACUUUAUUCAAUGAUAAUGUGUGACUUGAUGGGGA